UACGUAGGGGGCAAGCGUUGUCCGGAAUCAUUGGGCGUAAAGCGCGUGUAGGCGGCUCGGUAAGUCUGCUGUGAAAGUCCAGGGCUCAACCCUGGGAUGCCGGUGGAUACUGUCGAGCUCGAGUCCGGAAGAGGCGAGUGGAAUUCCUGGUGUAGCGGUGAAAUGCGCAGAUAUCAGGAGGAACACCAGUGGCGAAGGCGGCUUCCUGGCCUGUUCUUGACGCUGAGGCGCGAAAGCUAGGGGAGCAAACGGG
rnacentral:rRNA from 1 species